rnacentral:rRNA from 1 species
AGGGAUCAUUACACAAAUAUGAAGGCGGGCUGGAAUCUCUCGGGGUUACAGCCUUGCUGAAUUAUUCACCCUUGUCUUUUGCGUACUUCUUGUUUCCUUGGUGGGUUCGCCCACCACUAGGACAAACAUAAACCUUUUGUAAUUGCAAUCAGCGUCAGUAACAAAUUAAUAAUUACAACUUUCAACAACGGAUCUCUUGGUUCUGGCAUCGAUGAAGAACGCAGCGAAAUGCGAUAAGUAGUGUGAAUUGCAGAAUUCAGUGAAUCAUCGAAUCUUUGAACGCACAUUGCGCCCUUUGGUAUUCCAAAGGGCAUGCCUGUUCGAGCGUCAUUUGUACCCUCAAGCUUUGCUUGGUGUUGGGCGUCUUGUCUCUAGCUUUGCUGGAGACUCGCCUUAAAGUAAUUGGCAGCCGGCCUACUGGUUUCGGAGCGCAGCACAAGUCGCACUCUCUAUCAGCAAAGGUCUAGCAUCCAUUAAGCCUUUUUUCAACUUUUGACCUCGGAUCAGGUA